AUGCAGUCGUAUGAACUCUGGUAUUGAUUGGUGCUUGCAUCAUGAUUUACAUUUCCAGUGAGUGGCGAACUGGUGAGUAACACGUGGGAAACCUGCCCAGAAGCGGGGGAUAACACCUGGAAACAGAUGCUAAUACCGCAUAACAACUUGGACCGCAUGGUCCGAGUUUGAAAGAUGGCUUCGGCUAUCACUUUUGGAUGGUCCCGCGGCGUAUUAGCUAGAUGGUGAGGUAACGGCUCACCAUGGCAAUGAUACGUAGCCGACCUGAGAGGGUAAUCGGCCACAUUGGGACUGAGACACGGCCCAAACUAAUACGGGAGGCAGCAGUAGGGAAUCUUCCACAAUGGACGAAAGUCUGAUGGAGCAACGCCGCGUGAGUGAAGAAGGGUUUCGGCUCGUAAAACUCUGUUGUUAAAGAAGAACAUAUCUGAGAGUAACUGUUCAGGUAUUGACGGUAUUUAACCAGAAAGCCACGGCUAACUACGUGCCAGCAGCCGCGGUAAUACGUAGGUGGCAAGCGUUGUCCGGAUUUAUUGGGCGUAAAGCGAGCGCAGGCGGUUUUUUAAGUCUGAUGUGAAAGCCUUCGGCUCAACCGAAGAAGUGCAUCGGAAACUGGGAAACUUGAGUGCAGAAGAGGACAGUGGAACUC
rnacentral:rRNA from 2 species